UACGGGGGGGGGCAAGCGUUUGUUCGGAAUUACUGGGCGUAAAGGGCGCGUAGGCGGUUGGAUAAGUCAGCUGUGAAAACCACGGGCUUAACUCGUGGCCUGCAGUUGAGACUGUCUGGCUUGAGUGUGGGAGAGGAGAGUGGAAUUCCUGGUGUAGCGGUGAAAUGCGUAGAUAUCUGGAGGAACACCGGUGGCGAAGGCGCAUCCUGGACCAACACUGACACUGAGGAGCGAAAGCCAGGGGAGCAAACGGG
rnacentral:rRNA from 1 species